rnacentral:tRNA from 1 species
AUGUGGCUCAGUGGUAGAGCACUUGGCUAGCAUGCAUGAGGCCCUGGGCUCAAUCUCCAGCAU